rnacentral:tRNA from 1 species
GCGGAAGUGGCGUAACGGUAGCCGCGGCAGGCUCAAACCCUGCUGGGCCGCAAGGCCCGUGCGCGUUCGACUCGCGCCUUCCGCA